AGGGGUGUAGCUCAGUGGUAGAGCACAUGCUUAUUUAGCAUGCCCAAGGCCCUGGGUUCAAUUCCCAGUACCCUAU
rnacentral:tRNA from 1 species